UCGCGUCUUACGACGGCAGUUUCAUUAGAGUUCCCAGCUUUACCUGAUGGCAACUAAUGAUGGGGGUUGCGCUCGUUGCGGGACUUAACCCAACAUCUCACGACACGAGCUGACGACAGCCAUGCAGCAUCUGUGACCCACCCUCGAAGGCGACCGCAUUUCUGCGGCUUGCAGGGUCAUGUCAAACCCAGGUAAGGUUCUUCGCGUUGCGUCGAAUUAAACCACAUGCUCCGCUGCUUGUGCGGGUCCCCGUCAAUUCCUUUGAGUUUUAGCCUUGCGGCCGUACUCCCCAGGCGGGGCACUUAAUGCGUUAGCUCCGGCACGGGAGGAGUCGACACCUCCCACACCUAGUGCCCAUCGUUUACGGCGUGGACUAC
rnacentral:misc_RNA from 1 species